UACGAAGGGGGCUAGCGUUGUUCGGAAUUACUGGGCGUAAAGCGCGCGCAGGCGGUUUUUCAAGUCAGUGGUGAAAGCCCGGAGCUCAACUCCGGAACUGCCAUUGAAACUGUAAAACUUGAGGACGAGAGAGGUGAGUGGAAUUCCCAGUGUAGAGGUGAAAUGCGCAGAUAUCGGGAGGAACACCAAUUGCGAAGGCAGCUCGCUGGGACGUUACUGACGCUGAGACGCGAAAGCGUGGGGAGCAAACAGG
rnacentral:rRNA from 1 species